GAUGAACGCUGGCGGCGUGCUUAACACAUGCAAGUCGAACGAAGCACUUUAUUUGAUUUCCUUCGGGACUGAUUAUUGUGUGACUGAGUGGCGGAGGGGUGAGUAACGCGUGGGUAACCUGGAUUGUACAGGGGGAUAACAGUUGGAAACGGCUGCUAAUAGCGCAUAAGCGCACAGCAUCGCAUGAUGCAGUGUGAAAAAGUCCGGUGGUAGAAGAUGGACCCGCGUUGGAUUAGCUAGUUGGUGAGGUAACGGCCCACCAAGGCGACGAUCCAUAGCCGACGUGAGAGGGUGACCGGCCACAUUGGGACUUAGACACGGCCCAAACUCCUACGGGAGGCAGCAGUGGGGAAUAUUGCACAAUGGGCGAAAGCCUGAUGCAGCGACGCCGCGUGAGCGAAGAAGUAUUUCGGUAUGUAAAGCUCUAUCAGCAGGGAAGAUAAUGACGGUACCUGACUAAUAAGCACCGGCUAAAUACGUG
rnacentral:rRNA from 1 species